rnacentral:rRNA from 1 species
UCUAGAUUCCUACGGGAGGCAGCAGUGGGGAAUAUUGGACAAUGGGGGAAACCCUGAUCCAGCGACGCCGCGUGAGUGAAGAAGUAUUUCGGUAUGUAAAGCUCUAUCAGCAGGGAAGAAAAUGACGGUACCUGACUAAGAAGCCCCGGCUAACUACGUGCCAGCAGCCGCGGUAAUACAC